rnacentral:rRNA from 1 species
GAUGAACGCUGGCGGCGUGCCUAAUACAUGCAAGUCGAGCGAACGGACGAGAAGCUUGCUUCUCUGAUGUUAGCGGCGGACGGGUGAGUAACACGUGGAUAACCUACCUAUAAGACUGGGAUAACUUCGGGAAACCGGAGCUAAUACCGGAUAAUAUUUUGAACCGCAUGGUUCAAAAGUGAAAGACGGUCUUGCUGUCACUUAUAGAUGGAUCCGCGCUGCAUUAGCUAGUUGGUAAGGUAACGGCUUACCAAGGCAACGAUGCAUAGCCGACCUGAGAGGGUGAUCGGCCACACUGGAACUGAGACACGGUCCAGACUCCUACGGGAGGCAGCAGUAGGGAAUCUUCCGCAAUGGGCGAAAGCCUGACGGAGCAACGCCGCGUGAGUGAUGAAGGCCUUCGGAUCGUAAAAUUCUGUUAUUAGGGAAGAACAUAUGUGUAAGUAACUGUGCACAUCUUGACGGUACCUAAUCAGAAAGCCACGGCUAACUACGUG